rnacentral:rRNA from 1 species
UAGGGAAUCUUCGGCAAUGGACGAAAGUCUGACCGAGCAACGCCGCGUGAGUGAAGAAGGUUUUCGGAUCGUUAAACUCUGUUGUUAGAGAAGAACAAGGACGUUAGUAACUGAACGUCCCCUGACGGUAUCUAACCAGAAAUCCACGUCUAAUUACUUUCUAGCAGCCGCGGUAAUACGUAGGUGGCAAUCGUUGUCCGGAUAUAUUGGGCGUAAAGCGUGCGCAGGCGGUUUCUUAAGUCUGAUAUGAAAGCCCGCGGCUCAACCGGGGAGGGUAAUUGGAAACUUGGCGAGUUGAGUGCAGAGGAGGAAAGUGGAAUUCCAUGUGUAGCGAAGAAAUGCGUUGAUAUAUGGAGGAACACCGGUGACGAAAGCGGCUCUCUAGACUGUUACUGACGCUGAGGCUCGAAAGCGUGGGGAGCAAACAGG